UACGUAGGGGGCAAGCGUUGUUCGGAAUUACCGGGCGUAAAGCGCACGUAGGCGGAUUGAUCAGUUAGAGGUGAAAUCCAAGGGCUCAACCCUGGAACUGCCUUUAAUACUGUCAGUCCAGAGAUCGAGAGAGGUGAGUGGAAUUCCGAGUGUAGAGGUGAAAUUCGUAGAUAUUCGGAGGAACACCAGUGGCGAAGGCGGCUCACUGGCUCGAUACUGACGCUGAGGUGCGAAAGCGUGGGGAGCAAACAGG
rnacentral:misc_RNA from 1 species